rnacentral:tRNA from 1 species
GCCGGAGUAGCUCAAAUGGUAGAGUAGCGCAUUCGUAAUGCGGAGGUUGUAGGUUCAAGUCCUAUCUGCGGCA